AACCCCGUGGUGAAGCGCUCACCAUCGUUAUCAUCCAUCACCAAGCCCCGCCCCGCCCUCCUUGCUCUCAAGCCACCAUGGCGGACUACGAGCCCGAGGACAACCUCGAACAGAACAGCACCUUGAGCAGUGAAAGCAUCCAAGAGGAUAUAAGCAACUUGUUGCGCACAAAACUAGCGGGCGAACAGUGGAACCCCGCCAAGGUAGAUGGCUGGGUAGAGGACAUUGUGAACUCGAUCCUGACGGAGCUCGCGGAGCUCAAGAAACCGUACAAGUACAUUGUCACGUGCGUGUUCAUGCAGCGCACCGGUGCCGCGCUUUCUGUCGGGUUCAUUAGCCUCUGGGACAAUACAAAGGACGGCAUGGUGCACGUCCCCUUCGAGAACGACUCGUUUCACUGCUUGGUGACGGUGUACUUCUUGAAGAACGACUAGGCUGCGUCGGCGUCGACGUUGCCGCCAUGCAGCGGGGGGGAACACAGGAGAGGUGGCGGUAGUGCGGCAAAAGGUGUAAGGGUGAAGCAAGGUGGAAUGAGUGAAUAGAGGGAGGGAGGAGACUGGCAGGAGAGUGUUGGCGCACGGCGGGCGUGCAUCCCGUGCGCGUUGAGCACGUAUGCGACGCACUGUUCUCGUCGCUGCUUUUUUUCUUUUCCUACUCUCUUCCCCUCCAGCCGCCGCCACCGCCACCCUCGACCUCCUUACCGCUCCCUCUCCUCGCCGCUCGCUCGUGAUGCCCUUCGUCCUUGGUGCCGCUGUCGGUGUACUUGUGCAUAUGCAUGUGUGCGUGUGUUGUGCUGUGUCUGUAUGCUGGCGUUGUCGUCGAUGUAAACCAGAAGCUGCGAGAAAGGGAGGGGUGGGGUGUGGGAAGGCAGAGGGUCCCACAUCAAAGAAGGAACGAAAACAACGCGCACCCCUUUCCCACUUCUCUCCUCCCCCUCUCCUCCGAUGAGCUGUGCCAUCCUUGUUUGGUACCCACGCAGCAAAAAGGGUGAGGGGGCGGUGUUUGGUGUGUUUAGGGGGAGAGGGGGUAUUGAUUGACUGCUCCUCGCGUGUCUUUGCGUGCCUGUGCGUCAUGUAUCUGAGAGUAUCCCAGAAGUACGGGAUGAGCCAUAGAGCCAACACAAUAAAGCGCCUCGCACGCCUUUUCGUCGCCUCACCUGCACCUUCUACAAGUUGAGCACCGCUUCAUCCCAUCC
rnacentral:misc_RNA from 1 species